CCAUUUCUGACUUAAAUCCACUUCUGUCAGAUUCUCAAAGACUGUCAUGGGUUGAACAGGACUUUCUGUUGGGGAUAACCCUCCCCUUUUGACUCCUCAUAUCUAAAAAGAACCAGGGAUUCACUGGAUAAUGAUGAACAUAGAUGACAUUAAUAGGGAUUAAGAGAAACAGUGGCCCUAUCAUGGACCCCUGUGGAGCCACCAUUACUGGACAUAAUUCCCUGCGGUUCAAAGAUGCACCAUUGAAAGCAUAAUGGGUUGGUACGGCAACUGCUUUGUCCAGGACUGUAAGAAACUACAGAGGUUGUGUGCGUAGCCCAGACCACCAUAGAAGCCAACCUUCCAUCCAUGGACUCUACUUACACUACUUGUUGCUGAAGAAAAGCUGCCAGCAUCAUCAAAGUCCCAUCCCACCCUACUGAUGCUCUCCUACAACCUCUUCGUCAGACAGAAGAUACAGAAGCCCGAACACACGAACAGCUUCAUCCCAGCUGUUAUUAGACUGAUGAAUGGACUCUGUAACUUCAAAUAGUACUAAUCUUGUUAAUGUUGAUUUUGCCUAGUGUACAUCCUGUGCGGCGUAACCUCUAUGCCACACUCAAAAGUUUUUUUCACCCUAUGAUCUGUGUGUCCCUGCCCACUGUGUCUGUACUGCUUGCAAACAAAGCUUUUCACUGUACUUCGUUACACAUGACAAUAAGUCAAGUCAAGUCAAAUCAAGUCAAAUCAAGUCAAAUCAAAUCAAAUUGAAUAUCUUGUAUCCAGGAAUAAUUAUUACCUAGUCCUACUUAUCUUUUUGAGCAAGGUCUCUAUUAUAACAGCAGGUUAUAUUUCUAGGUGGUUGUAUGUGUUUGCAGCUCAUCUGUCUUAUUUACUAGCAUUACACUUUAGUACAUUUCCUCUUACCCCCCCUGAUACGUUACUGUUCCUUGUUGAGUAUUACUUGUGUCUCAAUUCCUUGUUUUUCUUCUACAUACCGUUGCCUCCUGGUUCCUAUUGUCCUGUCAGGUUAGUUUGAGCCCUGCCCAAUAACACUAGCAAACUGUCCUGAAGGACAAUUGGUCCAAAUAUGCACAGGUCAAACCUCCUCAGAACCGUUCUCAGUAUUCCAGGAACCUAAAUCCUGAUCUAUUUCUCCAGCUGGGCCUUUUUUCUUUAUCUGUUUGAAGGGCUUAUCCCCAUAUCUACCUCUGUUAUUGGUUUUGAUAUGAAUCAUAACUGCCAAAUGUUUCCUCUCUACCAACGCUGCAGCCAUCAGUGACAUCUUUGUCCUUGGCACCAGAAUGACAAUGUACAUUCCGUGAUCCAUGUCACCUGCCACAGCAAAGCCCUCAUUAUAGAAUUCCUCCAUCACUCUAUCUUUCCCAAUUUUCCUCCUGCACCACCCCCCUCACCCCCCUCACCCCACUCUACCCAGUCCCAUCCCGCACAUCUGAGUCAGCUGUGGCAGCAUAGACCUACCUCUAGCUGCAUUCCCUAAAGGAAUCAUUGUCCUCAGCAUCAGAGCUGAGGGGGAAUUCCUGCGCUAUCUGCUCAGUCCUCCCUGAUUGACCAGCAGUGACUCUACAAGACCGUAAGACAUCAGAGCAGAAAUUAGGCCAUUCAGCCCAUUGAGUCUGUUCUGCCAUUCAGUCAUGGCUGAUAAGGUUUCAACUCCAUUCUCCCUCUUUCUCCCUGUGACCUUUGAUUCCUUUGACAAUCAAAACCUAUUUAUUUCUGUCUUAAAUAUACUCAAUGAUCUGCCCUCCAUAGCCCUCUGAGGUAAUAAACUCCAUCGAUUCGCCACUCUCUGGCUGAAGAAGUUUCUCCUUACCUCUGUUCUGAAAGGCCUUCUCUUUACUCCACUUCCCUUUACUGUGCCCUCGGCUCCUAGUCUCUCCUGCCAAUGGAAGCAUCUUACCAACAUCCACUCUGUGCAGGCCGUUCGGUAUUCUGUAAGUUUCAAUCACAUUCCAUCUCGUUCUGUCUCUGAACAACCUUAGGCUGCAGAGUACCCACCUGCAGAAACAGCCUAUGCACAUCAUUCCCAGCCUCUGCAGUAGCACAAACCAAGCUUUGAAACCUGGAGCUUGAUCUGUUCCAACUCGUGACACUUCCUAUCUCAACAAUGCUCUGGUACAAUACCCUCGUGCAAUAUAUUUACAGUACUUAUGGGCUUUUUCAGGUUUAUGUCUACAGCAUUGCAAUCUAAUGUAUUUACACGUCAAUUUAAACAAAAUGCUUCUCUUUGAAAUUUAUCGUAUUGUAACAUCUUGAGGGUGAUAAUACUGCCUCGUUAAAAGAAAGUGCAGCAACUGAGAGAAUGAUCAUUUAUAGGCCCAAGGGAAAAUAAUGUCAGCUUAUUGCUGGCAGCAAUUUAAUA